CCUACGGGAGGCAGCAGUGGGGAAUAUUGGACAAUGGGCGCAAGCCUGAUCCAGCCAUGCCGCGUGUGUGAAGAAGGUCUUCGGAUUGUAAAGCACUUUAAGUUGGGAGGAAGGGCAGUAAGCGAAUACCUUGCUGUUUUGACGUUACCGACAGAAUAAGCACCGGCUAACUCUGUGCCAGCAGGCGCGGUAAU
rnacentral:rRNA from 1 species